rnacentral:lncRNA from 1 species
AGGAUUCCAAGUGGUGGGUGUCCAACCUUGAAACACUCGUUUCAUAUCGGCAGACGCUAAUUUCAUUGAACUCAACAUCGUUCCAAAAGGAAAUGGGUAUCUUUGGGUUGAAUAUGUUUUUAAAACUUAGGUCCAUAUGAGUAGGCGGUUAAGGUGAGGUCGGGCAGAAGUAAUGAGUAAGUAGGGCAAAAAGGAAGAAGACAAUAAAGAGGAAAAGAAAAGUGAGCAGUGGCAGUGGCAGCGGCGGGUAGUGGUCGCCGAAAUUCGAACUGGGUUUCGGGUGAAGACCAAGGGGAAAGGUUAGUUAUCGUGGAGCUUUUUCCACUUAUAUAUGUGUUUUAGGGUAGUGGUGACCGGAGCUUCAAAAAUUUGUGCAAAAAAAUUGGCGGCUAGGGUUUCCUAAAUCUAUAAUUCAGGGAGUUUGAGCUAGUUUUGAGGGAUUUGGGUUGGAGAUUUGGAAAGAGGAGGUUGAGGGGAUUUUAUGAUGAGAUUUUGGGGUGGUUUGGAUGACGACCAUCGUCGGUGGGAGGUUUUCGGCGGCGGAGCUGCUGGAGGAGAAAGAAAAGAGAAAGGAA